UGAUUCUGUGUUGAAAAUACUCAAGUAAAAUGAAAAUUUUCAGUUUAAUCAUAUUCAGAUCUUUUUUUGUAAAUAAACAAGACAGUCUAGCUGCCCUACAUUUUUAUCCCUUCGCAUUCUUGCCAGAUAACAUUCUUUUGCAGGCUGUAACGAGGAAUCACCAUAUGAUGAGAUUUCUUUUUGAGUCAGUUUGCCAAGAAAGCUUAUAUUAGAUGUCUUUGGUUUGUUAAGGAGAUAGUACUGUUUGCAGUAGUAGCAAUUAUGUUUUCAAUGCAGCUGGAUUCAUAAAAUAUGUAACAAAAAUGCUGACUUUUUUUUCCCAUUGUUAAAAUGUUUGGGUCAUUAUUCUAAUAAAUGUGCUUCUCUGUUUUAUCGCUUGUUCUGUAAUGUGAAGCCUGUGAGGGUUUGUAUUUGUUAGUUGAGGGCUUUUAGAACUUUAGUGUGCGUUCAGUAUGUGGAGUUUCAAAUCUAGGUCCUUACCUUCUGUGGUCCUAGGACCGUGCCAUCGAGCCCUGUGUUCUGCCUCUUGAGUGUGUUUUAUUUCAGAUUCAGGUAAGGUGUUCAGGAAGCUCACAGUGUAAUAAACUGAAAAUAGGAUGCUGUAAUAAACUGAAAAUAGAGAUGCUAGGCAUCUGUGAAUAGGGCCGUGUGUAUGUAUGUAUGCAUUUGCACACAUAAGCAAGUAUGUAUUAGGAAAAAACUAAAUGCAAUUCCUGCCAAUGUCUUCAUAAAUAAAAUACAAAUACCAA